rnacentral:lncRNA from 1 species
CCACACAUACCAAGCAUUUCAAUCAUACACACAAUAUGCUCGAUAUGUGCAAAUACAACAUGGCAUCACAACAAAACUCUACAACUCAAGUACUUUAUUUAAAGGCUCCAGAGAGCCAUACAUAACAUGUUCAUACAGGUAGGGGUCACAUGACUCGACACUCAAGUCAUACAAGCAUACAAGCACAUGCGGAAGCAAAUAGUCUGAGUACAGACACUAGAAAGAAAGAAGGCUUCUCGAAGCCUGUCUAUCUACAUAGGGCCCUCCAUGGCCAGGAUCACCACCUGGGUGGCAAGUCACUCAUCGACACUGAGAUCUACAUAAAACCCAUCGGAGGGGGCGGUGUUGUCGUCUGAAAGCAGUAAUUAAAGCAAACAUGAGUACAAAGGUACUCAGCAAGUCUUACAUCAGAACCUACAAUACAUGCUCAUUCUCAAGAAGGUGGUGGAGUUAUUGCAGCAAGCCAGCUUUGACUCUUGGCUAAACUAUCCUACGAGACACCACUAGUAAAAUAGUUUUCACACACGAGUCCACUAAUCACCAACACAAUACUCCACCGGGGAUCCUCCCUCGUCAUCCUACAAGAGAGCCAUCCUCGAUACUCACACUUAUCUUGAGUCUUUUAGUAGUAACCAUUAACUUGUCUAUGAACUGUAUAGGCAACCAAGUAGUCCUUUACCGCAGACGCGGCUAUUCGAAUAGUUUUAUACCCUGCAGGGGUGUACUUCGUCACACAUGUUUCCACCACUUAGCGUCUGCACAAGACAUGUUCUCGGCAGACUUCAAGCGAAAGCCGACGUGGGUGUAGACCACAACCUGACUAACUACACAAGUCUCUAGUCUAGGUUUAUCGCCUAUUCGGGUUCCAUCCGCAAGGAAAUCCGGCCAGGGUGUCCUCAACAGCUCCGAACGAUGUGUGUAGGGUUCCCGAGAUACCAAACGGGCGACUCGGUACACCGUGCCACGGUGUAUCUACCGCAUCAUAGCCCACCCCUAGGGUCAGCACUACGCACGGCCGCCAACGCAUAACCUACAAACACCAGAAACUAGUUGCAACUCCUGGACAGAGGACGAGAGGGGUCAGUAAGUUGAGCGGGGUCAUAUUUCAGGGCCCAAUGUAUGGUAGUAGCUGAAUCUUAAAUCACGCAUACAGAUCUCAGUUCUUAUGGACGGCCUCAAUGAAACAACCCACCAUGUACUCCUACAUGGCCUCUCAUCGAUACCUUUACCAAAACAUGUUCAACACAUCCCUCACAUUACCAACAUAAUCAUUUCACUCUAGCUCAUCACCCAGAUGAACCAGACCUGACACAACGCAAAGCAUAGCAGGCAUAGCAAGGUAGGAAACACAUACAUGGCUCAAUCAACUCCUACACAUGCUAGUGGGUUUCAUCUAGUUACUAUGGCAAUGACAGGUCAUGCAGAGGAUAAGGGUUCAACUACCGUAGCACACAGCAGUUUGAAACAUUGUUGUCUUAAUGAAGUAAAUGAGAGUAGAGGCGAGAACAUGGGAUUGUAUCGAUAUGAUCAAUGGGGAUGCUUGCCUGAUGGAGUGGUAGUAGGGUACUGCCCUUCAGUUGGAUACUCGGAGAUAUCCUCGGAGGUAGAACCUACCACGAAGGACACACAGAACAUAAUGAACACAUGGCAAUAUGCAACAAUGUGAUGCAUGCUAUGACAUGGCAAAAUGAUGUGUCCUGCCUAAUGCAAUGUGAAACAAGUUGAAAUGGUUCCAUUUGAAUCAAAGAUUCAAAUGAAAGCUUAAGCUCUUAUGCAUAAUAAGUGUAUUAGCUUGUUUCACCUAAACAUCAAGGUUAAAGUGUUUUGUCAUGCAUGAAACCAUUAGAUAUGGAUAGAUUGAAUUUUUCUGAUCAUUUUUCAUAUAUAAUUUGUUUGAUUUGGAGCUAUGGUUAAUUUUUUAUGAUUUUUAGAAGUUUAGGCUAUUUUCUGGAAUUUCCUAUAUAAAAAUAAAUCCAGAAAAUGAAUAAUUGCAUCAGCACUGCAUCACAGUGACGUCAGGGAGUCAAAGGCGCCAGGGGCCAGUCAAACCUGACCAGUGGGGCCCACUGGUCAGUGACUCUGUGCACUAACUACGUUUAGUUAGCCUAAUUAACUGGGCAGGGCCCACUAGUCAGUGACUAUACUAAUUAAACUAACCUAGUUAGUUAGCACUAACAGAGUAAUUAGUCGGGCGGGGCCCGCAUGUCAGUGAGAUAGAGGGGGAGGUCAACCCGUGUUAGUAGAGUCAACCUCGCCGGUCAGCGGGUCAAAGCCCGCCGGCGUUUAGCUGCCGGCGAGGCCAGACGCGGCGGCGCGCUGCGGGAAUCGCCCACAUGGCACCAUUUGAUGCGCGGAGAGCAGCUACGGGCAGCUGGUGCUCGCCCGCAUCCAGCCAUGGUGAUGGCUUGGCCGGGGAGUGGCCGGAGCAUCGCCGGCGACGAGCUUGGCGGAGGCCGAAGCUCGGGUCAGCUCGUGCGCGUGGCUGCAGUGGCCUAGGCGAUUCAGCGAAAGCGCCUACCGCAUCUACGCAGCGUGGGGAGUGUGACGGGCACAAGCCCGUGACCAAAUGGUCACCGGAGCAUCGCCGACGACGUGGUCAGGCAGCGGCGCAUUCGGGCACAAGAGGCGCGGCGUCUACGGUAUUCUAGGGGCAAAACGGAAAGCACGGGGAGGUUCAGUAGCUCACAGGGAAGCCGCAUGGAGGGUCAGUGUGCUCGGGGAAGCUCGGGUGCGGCGGAUCGACGAUGACGAUCAACGGCGGCCAAAGGUUGAAGACGAUGGUGGCGGGGACGAUGCAGGGGCUCCGGCGUCGUGCAGUUCGGCUGGUCGACGUAGUCGACGACGGCGAACCGUCGGGACACGGUGAGAGGGCGCGGGGACGGCGUUGGACGCGGCUGCGGCGAGCAGCGGCGACAGUGACGUCUCGGGCGACAUCGGGGAGGGUGAGAGAGAGGAGCCAGAGGGGAGAGCGAGUGUCUGCGAGGUCGGGGAGAGAGAGGGGGUUCGUCCCACGUCGACAGCUCGACGAGGGGAGCGGCGAGGCGGCGGGCAGCUGCGUGGCACGCAUGCUGUGCUCGCCGUCGAGCAGCUGCUUGCCUGUGCUGGCGAGUGCAAGCAGCUCGCUGGCGCAGGAGGUGGGUUGGGCUAGUAGGUGGGCCGGCUGGUGGGCUUCCAGGUAAGCCUUUCUCUUUCUGCUUUCUGUUUUCUUUUUUUAUUUAUUCUGUAACUUUAGGGCUUUAAUAAAAAUACUAAAACAUUUUCAAAAAUCCUGAAAAUAAUUGUGGGCUCUGUUGGGAUUAUUCCUAACAGCCCUCACUUAAAUCCAGAAUUAUUUGGGCAUUUAAAAUAUUUUAUAGUAUUUAAAUGCCCAAAUUCAAAUACUUAUUAUUUAAUCCAAAAAAUCCAGAAUGUCCUAAAAAAGAGUGCACCAUUUUUCCCAGGGGUUUUAACCCGAACCAGAAAUUAUGAACAUUUUGUGAAGGGCAUUUUGGGUUCGUUGAAACCAAUUUUAGUAAACCCUAGUUGGUUUAAGGGGGUGCUGGGGGUUCUGUCAUCCUCAUUUCACCUUUCUGGAAAAUUUAAACAUGAUGCAAGCACUCUAAUGCAUGAACUAGCUAGGGUGUGACAAUCAAUCAAGCAGGACGUCGGGUAUUACCUCCAUCAAGAGGGCCCGAACCUGGGUAAACAUCGUGUCCCCUGCCUCCUGUUACCAUCCGCCUUAGACGCACAGUUCGGGACCCCCUACCCGAGAUCCGCCGGUUUUGACACCGACAGUGUGACUAGACAAAGAGAGGUUAGCUUGCAGAUUGCAAAAUGCAUGAUCCAGUUAGUAUCACAAAGCAUGUUCAGCAGAAUUUAGAAUUGCAUGUGCUUUCAAUACAACCAAGAAGAAAUUAAUUCAGCAGUUGCACUUGCACAUACACCAUACCAAAGCAAAAGAGAAGUUUUUCAAAAUUGAAGUGUGUGCGGCAUAUUACCAGAAAUGAGAAAGACAUGUUAGUUAGAGUAUUCGUUUUGUAUCAGAUUUUAAUAUAACACCAUACCAUUGCAAACAUGUGACAGCAAUCAACUUUGUGCUUUUUCUAGAUGAAACAAAUAAAGCAUGCCAGCAACUACUUAAUUCAGCAACCCUCUAAUGCCCUGAUUGGAAACUUCGAUUAGAGAGAGUAGUACUAUGUCUAUUGCCCCACAUCAAAUUUUGUGUUUGCAAUGCUAUCAUUCCAGUUGUUGCCCUACAUGAAUAGUAAAAAAGGAAAUUGCUCGAAUUUGUAACCAAAUCAGGGUAGGGGCCAAAGUGAAACAUCUCACCAUCUGAUGAAAAAUUGCUGACAGAUGGUGGAGACCCAAACAGUGGCAAUUGCUUUUGUGCUAGAAAAGUGUUGGAGAAGAAACAGUAAUUUAUUAUGUACUUAUGCAAAGCAGGAUACUCAAAAGACCAACUGAGUGGAUUCUGGAAAGAACGAGACCAUUAUUUACUACUUCCUCCGAUCCAUAAACAAAAGCUGUACUAAAUUAGUCACAACUAAUAGGGAGUGUUUGUUAUGAAAGCAGGAUUACUUUUUUAAGUGAGUGGAUUCUGGAUAGAACGAGACCAUUUGUUUGGCACAAGGAAUUUGUUAGGUCUCAUACUGCCAUAGACCAUUCUUGAACUUGCCAAAGAAAUUAGUACUAGCGCACAGGGACUUGUACAUUGUUAGGUGUGCGCAUGCGAAUUCGUCCUUGUUAAGCAUACAUGGAGAAUUGCAAGGCUAACCGAACGGAAGGAGCAGAAUAGGAACCGUAGGUAGCACCACGCCAAGAAGAGAUUACAUAGAACACGAAUUAAAAUGGACCACUCCUGAAUGGACCAAGAAAUCACUUAGGUCUGGCUGCAUUGAGCCAAGAUAUUAGACUCGUCUUACAAAGAAAUACUCCCUCCGUUCCAAAUUACUCGUCACAGAAAUAAAUGUAUCUAGAACUAAAAUACAUCUAGAUAUAUUCAUAUAUGCGACAAGUAAUUUGGAACGGAGGAGUAAUAAGUAACAAUAAAUUCGAUUCUCAUAUGCAUGUUGCUGUUUAAGAAGAGCCAAACUAGUACUCCUACUAGAAAAGAAAAUUACCAAACAAGAAAGAUUCCUCCCUUCCGCGCCACGGCGACGGCCUCAACGACGGCGGGGAUUACGGCCUCGCCGCCAGUGACCAGCAGUGGGCUGCGCAUCUCCGGGUCUACGAAAUCCUUCUGCAAGCCAUCACCGUUUGCAGCAAUAAUUCACAAGUAGAGUGGAUAGGAAACCCACCAAACAAGAGGAAAAGAGACCCCAAAAUAAGAGAAUUCUUUUACAAGAGGGGAGGAAACCCCACCUGCAUGUCGAUGACGAGCAUGGUCGUCUCGCUCCACUUGGCGGCGGCCGCCAUGGAUCGCUGCGACUUGAAGCGGCUGGUCGGGAUCCUGGGGAUUAUGGCAGCGACGCCACCUCCGGAGAACCAG